CGUCGUCAGCUUACCCUGUGAAGGAUUUAUAGUAAGCAAAAUGAGUUCACCCCAAAACGUCAGGUCAAGGUGUAGCGUAUGGGAUGGAAAGAAAUGGGCUACAUUUUCUACCACAGAAUACCACGAAUAAUGCCCUGAAAAAGCAUCUGAAGGAGGAUUUAGUAGUAAAAAGUAAACAGAGAGUACUUUUGAACUAGGCUCUGAGGCGCGCACACACCGCCCGUCACUCUCCCCUAUCACUAUCAACUAAUUAUACCUAAUACUUAAACAUAAGCACGGGGAGGCAAGUCGUAACAUGG
rnacentral:rRNA from 1 species